rnacentral:rRNA from 1 species
AGAGUUUGAUCCUGCCCUCAGGAUGAACGCUAGCGGCAGGCUUAACACAUGCAAGUCGAGGGGCAGCGCGGAGUAGCAAUACUCUGGCGGCGACCGGCGGAAGGGUGCGUAACACGUGAGCAACUUGCCCGUGACAGGGGGAUAAGCGAUGGAAACGUCGUCUAACAUCCCGUAACACAGAGGGAGGCAUCUUCCUCUGUUGAAAACUCCGGUGGUCACGGAUAGGCUCGCGGGACAUUAGCUAGUUGGCGGGGCAACGGCCCACCAAGGCGACGAUGUCUAGGGGUUCUGAGAGGAAGGUCCCCCACACUGGAACUGAGACACGGUCCAGACUCCUACGGGAGGCAGCAGUGAGGAAUAUUGGACAAUGGAGGCAACUCUGAUCCAGCCAUGCCGCGUGAAGGACGAAGGCCCUAUGGGUCGUAAACUUCUUUUGUCAGGGAGCAAUAAGGGUCACGCGUGGCCCGACGAGAGUACCUGGUGAAUAAGCAUCGGCUAACUCCGUGCCAGCAGCCGCGGUAAUACGGAGGAUGCGAGCGUUAUCCGGAUUUAUUGGGUUUAAAGGGUGCGUAGGCGGACGAUUAAGUCAGCUGUGAAAUGCCCGCGCUUAACGCGGGAAGUGCAGUUGAUACUGGUUGUCUGGAGUGCCGUUGCCGUGGGGGGAAUGUGUAGUGUAGCGGUGAAAUGCAUAGAUAUUACACAGAACGCCGAUUGUGAAGACACCUCACGAAGCGGUAACUGACGCUGAGGCACGAAAGCGUGGGGAUCGAACAGGAUUAGAUACCCUGGUAG